AUUCAAUGGAGAAAGAGUAUAUUAAUGGUAUUGAACUCUGAUGUGUCAUUUUAUUUGUAUAUCUCAGAGUCCUCUAAGAAGAAAAUCAUUAUCUCUGUUUCAUAGGUUGUGAGAUGAAGGCAUAGAGAGUUACCUUACAGUGGUAUAUUGAAGAAUAUGAAGUCAGGAGCAGAACUGGGAGGAAACUCUAGAUCUCUUAAACUCCAGCUCAGCACAAGAGAAAAGAAAAGCUUUACCAUCUGAUGAUAAGGAGCUAUCAAGCUGUUUCCUGCCUUUGAGUGCUAGUCCACAUACGCAUUCAGACGCAACCAGGAAAACAAGAUCCAAAACAAAAAGCAACCUCCAGCAGCUUAAAGUGAAGGGGUGGAAGGAGCUUCCAAAUUUGUAUUUGUUAUUAGAAAGAGUGUCUGCAGACUCGACAGACUGGCCACAGGAUGGGGUUUAUUGCCAUAGUCCUUUCCUGGAAGAUGAUUUAACCACCAGCAACCUUUGUACGUGUAAGGACAAUUCAAGAUAA
rnacentral:lncRNA from 1 species